rnacentral:tRNA from 1 species
GUCCCCUUCGUCUAGUGGCCUAGGACAUCGCCCUUUCACGGCGAGGACAGGGGUUCGAACCCCCUAGGGGACGCCA